ACUUUUGGUUGCCCCCCCAAUAUUAAAUAAGCACUAAACCCAGAAAGUCUUAUAAUUAAAUCUUAAUCUAAUGAACAACAUCUUAGUUGAUGAUUUAUUUAUACAUUGGAAGACAGAGAAAAUGAGGCUAUGGAGUGAAAAGAUUACAGUUACAGAAGAAAAAUGUCAGGUCCAGAGUGCUGCUCAAAUGCACCAAUCCUCAAUCCAAACUCUGGAGUCGGCCAUGUUGAAAAACUUGGAGGUUUAGACACCUAUGUCAUGGUCCCUCUGACUCUAACCUUGCCAUUCUUAUGGUUUCCGAAGUUUUUGGAUUUGAAGGUCCGAACCUAAGAAAACUUGCAGACAAGGUUGCAGCUGCAGGGUACUAUGUAGUGGUUCCUGAUUUUUUAUACGGAGAUCCCUUCACUUCAGAAAAUGCUAACAGACCUCUACCUAUUUGGUUAAAAGAUCAUCAACCAAAUGAAGCUUUUGAAGAUGCAAAACCAGUGAUUGAAGCUUUAAAACACAAAGGUGUUUUGUCUAUAGGAGCUGCCUCUUUUUGUUGGGGUGCCAAGGUUGUGGUAGAACUUGCCAAGUCUAGAUUAAUCCAAGCUGCUGUGCUACUACACCCAUCAUUUAUCACCUUGGAUGACAUCAAGGGGGUUAGUAUUCCAAUUGCAGUACUUGGAGCUGAGAUUGACAAAUAUUGUCCUCCAGAACUCCUCAAACAGUUUGAGCAACUCCUAACUACUGAACUUGGGGAUGAUUGUUAUGUAAAGCUAUUUCCAGAAGUUUCGCAUGGUUGGACUAUCAGGUACAAAAUUGAAGAUGCAAUGGCUGUAAAAGCUGCAGAUGAGUCCCAUCAAAUUUUACUAGAAUGGUUUGCUAAGCAUGUAAAGUGAAAAGCAUUGUUUGAUGAAAGUCUUCCAUGCGAAUUAUUUAUACAUCCUUUAUCGAGAUUGCUACCUGUAUUGAGGGGACAUGCAUUGUUGAUUAUCAUUGGCAUUAAAAGUGGACAAUAUAGGGGGAGAAAUGAUUCUUAGACAUCAAGAUUAGAUUAUUUUCGAAAAGUGUCUAAGUUGCAGCAGAUAAAAAACAAGUGAAAGAAAGAUGGAGAUAAACAUAUAGUACUUUUUUUUUCUCCGUGGCGCAGUUGAGGCACCCAAGAUUUAUGCAUACGCCCUUCUCUCUCUCUUUUUUUAUUUUUUUUUUAUUUUUUUCACUCUUUAAGUAAUAUUUUUUAUCGGCAUUAGUAAUUUGUCAAAGAUUUUUAUUUUAUUUUGUUAUUGCUUCAUAGUUUAUAAUAAGGUUUAAAACAAAAUAUUUCGAAUAAAAAAUAGAGAAGAAAUAUAUAUUAGAAAUUUGAUUAUAUUAAAAUGGACUUGAAUGUUUAACAAGAGAAGGUAUUGUAGGAUAUAAUUUAAUAUAAACGGGAGAGAAAUGUAAUAAAUAAUCUUUUAAUGUAGUGUAAUUUUCUCUAAUAUGUCUUUGACUUUCUCCACUUCUCAUAAUCCUCAUCGUUGCUUUCAAUAAAUUUUUCAAAAAAUAAAAAUAAAAAUCAUUUUCAAUGCAAAUAUUAUUGUACUUAGUUGUAAGUCUUAUUUUUUGUGGUAGCUGGGGUUUGAACUCUGGACCUUGCAUAUAUUAUGCACUGUCCCUUUUCAACUGAGUUAAGUUCAGGACCGGCCCUGGGGAGGUGCAAACAGCUCUACAGAGCUGGGCCUCCCCAAUUUUGGGGCCCAAAAUAUUUUUUUUUUUAAUAUAUAACGUAUUGAAAUUUUAAUAUAUAGGCAUAGCAUAGAAUUUUUACAAACUAAAUGUUGUGGCCUAGCGGUUAACUGUGGUAGUGUAGUGCAUUUUGUCUGCGGUUCAACUCCCAUAUAUGGCAAAUGUCUUUUUUUUUUUAAUUGUAUUAUUCUUUUAUCUCUUUUGGGCAUAAUUUUAAUGGAUUUGAGGUCUAUAUUUCAUCAAUACUUUCUCUUCUCCUUCCAAUUCAAUUCACUUCUUUUGCAAAGCUGUAACAACAAACAUUAUAAUUAUUCUAAAAAUAAAGAAAACAUUAUGUUCUUUUUUUCUUUUAAAAAAAUUGUAUAUUUUAGGGGCCUAUUAAUAAUAAGAGAGCCAGGCCUCCAAUUUCACAGGGACGGCCCUGGUUAAGUUCAUGAAAACACCUAAGAUGUUUACAUGCUUUAGUUGAAAAGGAUUUACUUCUUUUUUUCAAUUGGUUGUACUCGAAAAUAUUGUCUUUGUACUGAAACGUUUUGAAUUCAUUGUUUCCUUUUUUAGGUCAAGUCAUUGAUUUUACUUGUCAAAUUUAAACUUUCUUCUUUGUUUUUAAGCAAAUAAAAAUGUAAAAACAUUCAUUACUUAAGAGAGUGCAUGAAUCCCCUGAAUUCUUUUCAACAAAAAUUACUUGCGAGAAUAAUUAGUUGUUAUAGAAUUAUUUUGAUUUUGCUCUGAAAGUUGUUGAAAGACAAAAUUGACAAAUAAAAUAAAAUAAAUUACGUUUGACAAUAGCUUUUGUCUAAUUGGAGUGAUCCUUUAAAAAAAUUGGAAUUUGUAUAUUUAUAAUUGAAUGAUUGACAUCUAUUAUUGAGAUGAUCCUUAAAAAAAGUUUAAGAAUUUGUAUAUUUAGAAUGAUAGAGUCAUGCUAACAACUUCAAAUUAUCUGCAUUUGUUAGCAAACAAUUUCUAUAUUAAAAUAAAAAUUACGUUAUUUCCUACAUCUAGUCUAGUUAUAAAUAGAAAUGGGAGUGUUGAGUAUUGGAGGGAAGUGCAGUUAGCAAAACAAAAAGUCAAAGAAACAAAAAUGUCAGGUCAUGCAUGCUGCUCUAACCCACCAAUUCUGAACCCCUUUAGUGGAGCUGGCCAUGUUGAAAAAAUUGGUGGUCUUGAUGCUUACCUCACUGGCUCUCCUCUUUCCACCAAAGCCAUUCUCUUUGUUUCUGAUAUCUAUGGAUAUGAAUCUCCAAUUAUAAGGAAUCUUGCCGACAAGGUUGCGGCAGCAGGUUAUUAUGUGGUAGUUCCUGACUACUUCUAUGGUGAUCCCUAUGAUGAUGACCGUGUUGACAGGCCUUUACCUAUUUGGAUGGAAGACCAUGAACCGGACAAAGGUUUUGAAGCUUCCCAACCAAUAAUUGAAGCCU